UAUCUGUAAAAAAAAAGUGGAUCAAGG
rnacentral:piRNA from 1 species